GACGUAGGGCGCGAGCGUUGUCCGGAAUCAUUGGGCGUAAAGAGCGUGUAGGCGGCCCGGUAAGUCCGCUGUGAAAGUCCAGGGCUCAACCCUGGAAUGCCAGUGGAAACUGUCGGGCUGGAGUCCGGAAGAGGCGAGUGGAAUUCCUGGUGUAGCGGUGAAAUGCGCAGAUAUCAGGAGGAACACCAAUGGCGAAGGCAGCUCGCUGGGACGGUACUGACGCUGAGACGCGAAAGCGUGGGGAGCAAACAGG
rnacentral:rRNA from 1 species